CUGCCCAUUCAUAGAUGCCUAUUUCUUGUUUUUGUUCAGCUAUGUUUCUUUUGUACUCGCAUGCUGGAAGAAAGUUUCUUUUGUUGAUCGGUUAGAUGGGUUUGGCUGACUUGAACCAUAUAAGGAUGCGUUUAAGAACUUAUAAAUUCUUUUCAGCUCGAUCUUUUAUGCAUUGGAAACUGUGAAUUUGGAAUUGUGAAACAAAAGAUGCUAUAUGUAUUUCGUUUAUAUUUUGUUAGGCAGCAUAUGCUAUCUAGUUCUAGAUUCCUCAUUUGCAUCUCAUUUAUUUGAACCAAGAAAAAUCACCCCAUCUAUUUCACGACCCUAUAUAAGAACCCAGCUAUUUGGAUCAAAAUAUGAUAUAUGAUCAAACAUGACUUCCUUUUGUAAGGUAUUCCAUUAAAUAAUAAUAAUAACAACACGUACAUCCUCGUUCAUUCCUCUGAAGUAUUGGUAGUGUCUGUUGAAGAAAUGAUGCCCUUUCAGGAAAGUGGCUUUGGGGAAUUUGGGUACAUACAGGAUGCUCUUUUGGGGAAGGUAAUUGUGGCUAAGUAUGGGGACAUAAAGGGUAGAGGAGAGAUCAUCAUUAUUCUGGAUCAUUGGCGCUGAAGAUUUGCUUGUCAUGUCUUUUUUUAUUUUUUUAUUUUUUAUUUUUUUAUAAUUUUAAAGAAGAAGAUUUUCUUGCAAAUGCAGUAUGGAAUGCAGUUUUCGGAACACAUUUGAAAGAUGACGAAAUACCUCUCCUUGUAGAGAUUCUUCAUUUCCUCUAUGGCAUCUACAUCCUGUGGGAGGGUUUGUAUAUGGGAGUGUGGAUGGAUGAUAAUUUGUUAAUUGGUAGCAACCGACAUAAUACUUGCAUGUGGCCAUUUACAAGGUUGGAUGAUCCUACAUUUGGAGCUUUUUAUUAACCUCUUUGGUAUUGGCUCAGUCUUUCCAUACGAGGGAAUUGAAAUUUUCUCAUUGUAGAAUUAAAGUUCUGACCACAUCAGAAAUGACUUUGGAGAUGCAUUCCAUAUGCUUAUAUUUUGGGGUAUUGGAGUGAAGGAACAAUGUAAUCUUAUGAGAUGUGAAGAAUUUGCUUUCCAGAGUGUGGAGAAAAUUAAGGUGACUCUUGUCUAUUUGGUUCUUUAUAAAAAGGAAAUUUGGGAAAUAGUUUCACUGACAUUGAUGAAGAUGUUUCCAAAGUGUCAUGUUUUGUUCCUUCAAAAUGAUAUUUUUCAUUAUUUUAGCUCAAUUAUUCAAAAGGAUGGGAGAUUGCCAAGGAUGUUUCCAAUAGAAUUGGAGUAUAGUGGAUGAAAUGCCUAUGGAGUGUUGUGGGAUCUUCACAUGUGUAUGAAAUUUGAGAAAAAUGUUUAUAAGAGGAGCAACCAUUCUAUAUGUGGCUGCUUUUUUUUUUUUUCCCAGUUCGAAGGCAUAAUCAAAUGAGUUGAGAUGGAGUGCAUAUCUGAGAAUAUUGGGAUGGAUGCCAUCUGAAGCAACCUAGAAGUCCCAAUAAGUGAAAAUGAUGGUGGACAUGUUGAGAUGGUAUGGUCAUGUGCAUCAAAUUCCAAAGAAGGCUCUAAAGAAGGGAAACAAGUAACCCCCUCCUCCUUGCUUCUUCUCUCAUGGGCUUAGAUUAUCAAAUUCAAAUGUGGAUAUUCUUGCAAAGCAAGGAGUUGAGCGCAGAGAGUUGGCCAUGGUUGACCUUAGGCAAGUUUCAUGAUGUCCAAUCAGUUUGGAAUGGUAUUUUGUAUUUUUUAAAGCCAUUUGAUCUGUUGUUGUUUGGGCUUCAUCUUUUGUUGUUGUUUGAGUCGUAGUGCUAAUAGUAUUCUUCCAUUAAAAAAGAAAAAACAGAAGGGGAACAUUGAGUAGGUUCAGAGCAAGGUAUUCCAUAACGGUAAUGGUGGUUGUAACGGCCACCGUUGUUACUGUCAGCGUUUUAAAUAUCGAUGAUAUCGGACAAUAUAUCCCACGAUAUAUCUUAUAUCUCACUUGUACGAUACGAAACACACAAGUAGUGGGAUAUAUCCCACACGUUCGAUCCGGUGAGCAUUU